rnacentral:rRNA from 1 species
UACGUAGGGUGCGAGCGUUAAUCGGAAUUACUGGGCGUAAAGGGUGCGUAGGCGGGUCUUUAAGUCAGGGGUGAAAUCCUGGAGCUCAACUCCAGAACUGCCUUUGAUACUGAGGAUCUUGAGUACGGGAGAGGUGAGUGGAACUGCGAGUGUAGAGGUGAAAUUCGUAGAUAUUCGCAAGAACACCAGUGGCGAAGGCGGCUCACUGGCCCAUUACUGACGCUGAGGCACGAAAGCGUGGGGAGCAAACAGG